rnacentral:rRNA from 1 species
UACGGGGGGUGCGAGCGUUGUCCGGAAUCACUGGGCGUAAAGGGCGCGUAGGUGGUUUGAUAAGGGUGUGGUGAAAGUCCGGGGCUCAACCCCGGAUCUGCCGUGCCGACUGUCAAACUCGAGGACUGUAGAGGCAGACGGAAUUCCGGGUGUAGCGGUGGAAUGCGUAGAGAUCCGGAGGAAGACCGGUGGCGAAGGCGGUCUGCUGGGCAGUUUCUGACACUGAGGCGCGAAAGCUAGGGGAGCAAACAGG